rnacentral:tRNA from 1 species
GGUAGCUCACUGGUAGAGUGCUUGCCUUGCAUGCAUGAGGCCCUGGGUUCGAUUCCUCAGUACCA